GCACUCUUAAGGUCUCAGCCCAGCCUAAAACUCAGGCUGUUGUUUCAUGUCAUAGUGUUUGCUGUUGUUUCAUAUUGCUUGCUUCACAUUUAUUGUUUCAUACUGCUGGCUUGCUGCACUGUUGUAACUUUUCUACUUUCACACCUUGCAGCUGCAGGCAGCUCUAAUUCCUCUGCUCUUUCUGCCUCCGAGGGCUGCUUUUCCCAGAUUUCUGAAAGGCUUUGGCAUUUCCCCCAGCAGGGCAGGCGAGGGCUCUUGGUGACCGAGUGUCCCCUGCCACAGGGUGGCCCCGUUGUGUCCCCCCCCUGGGGCUGUCCCACACCCUUGGCUGUGCCUGCUCCACAACCAACCAAUCCUUUCUAUUCUUUAUAAUUUCCCCCCCUUUUUUUGGUCACUCCAGCAGCUGCAUUUUUGCAAACACCUGUGUGUGGCCCCGGAGAGAGGGGCAGCAGCUGCUGCUGCUGCUGAGAGGUGAUUUCCCCCUGCUGAGCCCUCCCCUCCCUGUGCCCAGCCCAUCCUCUGUGCCCUUUCAGCUCCAACCCCUGCUGUGGUUGGGGAGCUGCAGGAUGCCUUUCCCUUCGAGGCUUUGUGCUUACUGCAGUGCAUUUUGCCCAAACCAGGGUGGAAACUGCAGAAAGGAGACGUGAAAAUGGCUGAAGGUUAAACGUGGCACAAGAGGGAAUUAAUAAUCAGAAAUGAUGUUGCCUCACCUCGCAGCCGCAUCAGCUAUCUGCAUUCACAGGGAAUUACACACAGCCUCAUCUGCACGGGAAUCCAGCACUCAUCCCUGUGCUGCCAGGGGAGGGAGGGAGCUCUGCAGGACAGAAGGACAAACACCCAAGCACCCCUCAGCCCUGGGGGGGUGGCAGGAGAUGGAUUUCUGCUUCCCUCUUCUUUUCCUUCCAAAACUUCCUUGCUGGAGCACAGAAACAAGUGCAGAUUGUUCAUUAGAAAUAGGAUUUUAGGAAAAAAAAAACCAGUUAAAAGGAUGGGAAGUUCUGUCACACUUGUGUGGCCUACAGAGAGAGAUUGAGAGGACUCGGAGAGCUCUCCCAGGAGGAGUCUCCUCCUUCCAUUUCUGAGGGAUUGUUCAGGAGUUUCCAGCCCAGGGAUUGUAAAGGUGAAUUUGCCUCCAGCUCUGGCUCUCCAGGUGAUGCUGACAUCGUUGUCCCUUGUUCCACCUUUGGUCCUGAGGUAACAAAUUUCUCCAGGGGUCACUCUGAGAGGGUCUUUCAAAAUAAUUCUGUGUCCCUGCAACGACAGCUGAGCCAACAUUGUCUGUUGUGAACAGCGAUUUUACACUGCUGAAAGUGACCCCGAUGUUCUGCUUUAAAGCUGAAAGCCAGACCUGCCUUGAGCAGGGAUUUAGGUUUGUGUCUGCAGGCAGAGCCGUGAAUGACCUGUGGGGUCGGGUCAGGUGCUCUGCAGCCAGGGAGGGCAGGGCUGGAUUUUUAAAAAACCUGUCGGUUUGGGAAUCACCAGGGUGACCUUCCUCUCCCUGGCCAUUCAGUUUGGAGCUGGUCCCCACCUCGGCUUGGCUGAGGAGUGUGGGAAUGUGCAUUCCUGGCAAUCCCGAGAGUUCUGGGCGUGAGUGAUGUGAGGAGAGGAGGUGGUGACAACAGAGAGACAGAAUUCCGUGUAAGGACAAGCAUCAACCCAGCUGGCGCUGGAAAUCAGCUGCAGAGCAGAAUUUUUUCUCCUGCCUCUCCUCUGAUGUCCCUCAGAAAAUCCAAGCCUGGGGAAUCCCAGGAAUUCAGCUGCUGCAUCCCGAUUUUCCAGCCUAGCUCUGGGUGCCAAUUGCUGCUGCAUCCCAGGAUUAGCGGGGGAUCCUCGGAGAGGGAGGGCAAAGCUUGCAUUUCAAAAGGAACAGAAGGAAACUUCUUCCCCGGGGGAGUGGGAGGCUGCGUGAUCCAGCAGUGGGUAAAACCCUCGGAAAAUCAAUGUAUUUUGUCUCCCUUCUGGAUAGAAUCCCUCCCGCGUGGGCCAGGAGAGCAGGGCUGCUCAGAGGGAGCCCACCCAGGGCUGCUCUCCCUGUUUUUCUGCGUUCCUGUCCCUCCCUGCUCCUGGGGGGCAGCGGGGAGGAUCCAGGGCAGCGAUGGAGCUGCACCUGCAGCAGCAGCAGAGGAUUCCUCUGCAGAGUGGCUGUGAUUCAGUCCCGAUGAAUCACUCAGCCACUCUCCUUCCCAACCAGAUCUUGGGAUUCAUCAUUGCUACAGCAGGAGGAGGGGAGGAAAAACAGGGGAAAAAAAACCCCAAAAACCUCCCAAACUCCAGUGCUUUAUCUCCCUCUCUAAUACUUUCUAAUUUUCCUGUUUCAAAAUUUAAAUCCAUUUUUUUUAGGCAUGCCAUUGAGGUGGAAUAAACUUUUGCCAGUCCUGGAGAGGAAGCUGCGUUGAGAGGGGGUGGGAUGGACCCUGGGGACAGCACUGGGGACAGCAUGGUUCACACCAGCCAGGGGUGGAGGGGCUUGGGCUCUGCCUUCUCCAGGCCCCAAACCCUCCCCUGAGCAGCUUCACCCCUGCCCAGGGCCCUCAGCCCACCCAGGCAUUGAUAGGAGAGCACACAAACCCACUCUGCCUCAGUUCUCCCCUCCUGCAAACUCGGCGUGGGCUCAGCUCAGGGCUCCACACUCUCAUUUUUCCCUUUUGUGCCAUUUUUUCCCUUUUGUGCCAUUUUUU